GCGAUCGGAUUCGAGGAGGAGGAGCGAUGUCGGCUGGAGGGGAGGAGGACAGGAAGCCGUCGGCCGCCGCUGAUGCGGGGAAUCAUAUCAAUCUCAAGGUCAAGGGACAGGAUGGCAACGAGGUGUUCUUCAGGAUUAAGCGCCAGACGCAACUGAAGAAGCUUAUGAAUGCCUACUGUGACCGGCAGUCAGUGGACUUCA
rnacentral:misc_RNA from 1 species